rnacentral:rRNA from 1 species
GACGAACGCUGGCGGCGUGCUGAACACAUGCAAGUCGAACGCUGAAGCUUGGUGCUUGCACUGGGUGGAUGAGUGGCGAACGGGUGAGUAAUACGUGAGUAACCUGCCCUUGACUCUGGGAUAAGCCUGGGAAACUGGGUCUAAUACUGGAUACGACAUGUCACCGCAUGGUGGUGUGUGGAAAGGGUUUUACUGGUUUUGGAUGGGCUCACGGCCUAUCAGCUUGUUGGUGGGGUAAUGGCUCACCAAGGCGACGACGGGUAGCCGGCCUGAGAGGGUGACCGGCCACACUGGGGCUGAGACACGGCCCAGACUCCUACGGGAGGCAGCAGUGGGGAAUAUUGCACAAUGGGCGGAAGCCUGAUGCAGCGACGCCGCGUGAGGGAUGACGGCCUUCGGGUUGUAAACCUCUUUCAGCACGGAAGAAGCGAAAGUGACGGUACGUGCAGAAGAAGCGCCGGCUAACUACGUG